ACAACAACAACAACCUCCACCCCACACUCCGGGCAUCGCAUGAAAAUCUUGCCACGGAUUAGGGGCUUAAACACAUUCCCUUUAAGGAAGGUGUAGUUUUCAAAAAAAAAAAAAGUUACAAUCCUGGGAGCGCGUUGUGUAUGAUCACCACGCAGUCAAAAAAAAAAAAAAAAAAAAAAGGGGGGGGGGGGUCCCAUGGAUGUCAGUAACAUAACAUAACCAAACCCACUUUCCUCCCUUCUCUUUUGGCAGGCAAUUACUAGUACUGUAUAAAGGAAUUACAUUGCUAGUAGACAGGGACGAAUUUGCUCCUCAUCCAACCCCGAGCUGGUAGUAAGCUCUCUGCCAGUUACACACAUAGCAGCCAGAAAUAGAAUUCCCGAGAAUAUGGUAAUAAUAAGGUGUGUCCUCCCUGAUUGAACAAGCACAGGAGCGGUAAUGGGGCUUCAGCCUUAACCCAUGGCGGAGGAGACUGCUUUCCUGGAGGCUUGCUGCCGAAGUUUUCCGACGCUUCUAACCCGACAGAGGGGGAGGGAGUCCCGAAUAUCCUGCCCGAGAGGUUCCUGCUCUUACGGCUCCCAUGUGGGAAAACAACAAGGAACUCGGGAGGAGGCGAAGAAAAGGGCGAAACUUUGAAAAACCAUCCAUCAUCAGG
rnacentral:sRNA from 1 species